UCUCAACUUCACAAACCAAAGUCAGAAGACUUCCACUGAAAAUGAUGACCUUAACCGAGAUCUGAGGACUGCACGUGAGAACCUUCUCUAUUUCCGUAACCGGCUAAAAGUUCUGGAAGCUGAGAAGAAACAGGCUGUUAAAGAGCUCAGAACAUUACAAGAGGGGAGCCUCAAUCAAACAAAUGAUGCAAACGAAAGAGUUACAGAAGUGCUUCGGGCCCAAAGCAACCUGCAAGAGGAGCUUGCUGAACUACAAAUGAACUUCA